AACGUGCCCAGUAGUGGGGGAUAACUAGUCGAAAGAUUAGCUAAUACCGCAUACGACCUAUGGGUGAAAGCGGGGGAUUCGCAAGAACCUCGCGCUAUCGGAGCGGCCGAUGUCUGAUUAGCUAGUUGGCGGGGUAAAAGCCCACCAAGGCUUCGAUCAGUAGCUGGUCUGAGAGGACGACCAGCCACACUGGGACUGAGACACGGCCCAGACUCCUACGGGAGGCAGCAGUGGGGAAUUUUGGACAAUGGGCGCAAGCCUGAUCCAGCCAUGCCGCGUGCGG
rnacentral:rRNA from 1 species